rnacentral:misc_RNA from 1 species
CAACCCUCAGGCCCUGCCUGGCGUUGGAGGACUGCGCACGCAGCCUCCCAAAGCGAGCGGCGCGGCGCCCGAAACCGAACGCAGUAGUUACCUCUCGUUCUGGGUCCGGGUCGUUGUCCUGCCGGAAAACCCCCAUCUUAUCAAUGG